rnacentral:rRNA from 1 species
AUUGAACGCUGGCGGCAUGCCUUACACAUGCAAGUCGAGCGGCAGCGCGGGGGCAACCCUGGCGGCGAGCGGCGGACGGGUGAGUAAUACAUCGGAACGUGUCCUUUCGUGGGGGAUAACCAGCCGAAAGACUGGCUAAUACCGCAUGAGAUCUCACGAUGAAAGCGGGGGACUCCGAGGGUAACUUCGGGGCCUCGCGCGAUUGGAGCGGCCGAUGUCGGAUUAGCUAGUUGGCGGGGUAAAAGCCCACCAAGGCAACGAUCCGUAGCUGGUUUGAGAGAACGACCAGCCACACUGGGACUGAGACACGGCCCAGACUCCUACGGGAGGCAGCAGUGGGGAAUUUUGGACAAUGGGGGCAACCCUGAUCCAGCCAUGCCGCGUGUGUGAAGAAGGCCUCGGUUGUAA